rnacentral:lncRNA from 1 species
GCGUGAUGCAUGAUGAGGAUGCGAAUGUUAUGCAUAUUUUAUUUUCAGGGAAUUUUCAUCACGGUUGUAGUUAUAUUAAGCAUUUAGAGAAAACAUAAAGUCAGGAAAUAAAAAUGAGGAUCAUCCUCUUCCAUUCAAAUAUUUAAAGUACGGAGUACAAAGGCAUAACCGCCCAAAUCGAUACAGCUCAAAUACUAACUGAAUAUAAGAAAAACAGAAGAAUCACACAGAAGUCUUUCGAGUUAUGAGUUCUUCUAAUUCAGACUUGAACCUCUUCACCAUCCCCUCACACAUCAUAACAAAAUGGAUUACAGCAGGAUGUGUGCCAUGCUGGUCCAAUCCUUCCA